GCUUUCGCCUUAAGAUGAGCCCAUGGCCCAUCAGCUAGUUGGUAGGGUAAAGGCCUACCAAGGCUACGACGGGUCGCUGGUCUGAGAGGACGACCAGCCACACUGGCACUGAGAUACGGGCCAGACUCCUACGGGAGGCAGCAGUGAGGAAUAUUGCGCAAUGGGGGAAACCCUGACGCAGCAACGCCGCGUGUGGGAAGAAGGCCUUCGGGUCGUAAACCACUUUUGCACGGGACGAAAAAGGGAUAUCGAACAAAUAUCCCCGAUGACGGUACCGUGAGAAUAAGCCACGGCUAACUCUGUGCCAGCAGCCGCGGUAAGACAGAGGUGGCAAGCGUUGUUCGGAAUUACUGGGCGUAAAGAGUCUGUAGGUGGUUUGUCAAGUCUUUGGUGAAAGGCCGUAAGCUUAACUAUGGGAAUGCCAAAGAGACUGGCAGGCUGGAGGCUGGGGAGAGGGAAGCGGAAUUUCUGGUGUAGCGGUGAAAUGCGUAGAUAUCAGAAGGAA
rnacentral:rRNA from 1 species